GCCGGAGUGGUGGAAUUGGUAGACGCGCUGCGUUCAGGUCGCAGUAUCCGCAAGGAUGUGCCGGUUCGAGUCCGGCCUUCGGCA
rnacentral:tRNA from 1 species